GUGUACUUCACCGUGAACGUGUCGUUAUCGUUCUUGAUGAUAUCAAAGUCAAUAUCGGCCUCUGCAGGACCAACCACACCUGGAGCACACUUGAUCCCAAUGCUGACAUCGCCUACAGGUUAAAAGACAUGAAACAGUUGAUAGAUUUUGAUGUCCCACCCUGUCCGGCCUCGCUACAGUCCACAGUGAAGUAUGUCGGCUCGUUGGCCUUCAGUCCCGUCUUCUCCACACCUGGACCGUAAACCUUCACGUUCUCUGGAUGACUGCCUUCUCCUAUCGUCACCUGGUCCCCAAUAUACAAUGUGGAUAAAUAGUUAAACAAUUACCACCAACAGUAUUAAUUGUCAUUUAUUUACUGUUAAUUUUACUCCUUUCCAGUGGUAGUACCUCAUGGUUCUUUAUUUGGUCCUCUGUUAUUUACAUUUCUAUGUUGAUGAUGUGCAACUAUGUGUAUCUGUGAAAUAGGAUCUUAUUUUCAGUUUUCAAAUGACGUUAGCGUUCAGUAAUGUUUUUUUUUCUCACAGAUUUAGCAGUACACAUAUUGGUUUUACCGAUUAAACCUGUACUGGCGUA